rnacentral:rRNA from 1 species
UUCCGGUUGAUCCUGCCGGAGGCGACCGCUAUUGGAGUUCGAUUAAGACAUGCGAGUCUGAGCAUUAGCUCGGCGUACCGCUCAGUAACACGUGGGUAACCUGCCCUAUCGUUUUGAAUAACCUCGGGAAACUGAGAACAAUACAUCAUAGUCCACUACGCCUGGAACGGUGAGUGGAUGAAGGUAGGAUGGGCCUGCGGCGUAUCAGGUUGUAGGGGGUGUAAUGGACCUCCUAGCCAUCGACGCGUACGGGUGUUGGGAGACAUAGCCCGGAGAUGGAUUCUGAGACACGAAUCCAGGCCCUACGGGGCGCAGCAGUUACGAAAACUUGGCAAUGCGGGAAACCGUGACCAGGGAACUCCAAGUGAGUCUCUUUUAGGGGCUCUUUUCUUGACUCUAAAACGGUCUUGGAAUAAGGGGUGGGUAAGGACGGUGCCAGCCGCCGCGGUAAUACCGGCGCCUCAAGUGGUAGUCGCUUUUAUUGGGCCUAAAACGUCCGUAGCCGGUCUGGUACAUUCGUGGGUAAAUCAACUCGCUUAACGAGUUGAAUUCUGCGAGGACGGCCAGACUUGGGACCGGGAGAGGUGUGGGGUACUCUCAGGGUAGGGGUAAAAUCCUGUCAUCCUGAGAGGACCACCUGUUGCGAAGGCUCCACACUAGAACGGAUCCGACGGUCAGGGACGAAGCCUAGGGGCACGAACCGGAUUAGAUACCCGGGUAGUCCUAGGUGUAAACGCUGUGGACUUGAUGUUGGGGACGCUCCGAGCGUUCUCAGUGUCGAAGCGAAGGUGAUAAGUCCACUGCCUGGGGAGUACGGUCGCAAGGCUGAAACUUAAAGGAAUUGGCGGGGGAGCACCGCAACCUGAGGAUUGUGCGGUUUAAUUGGAUUCAACGCCGGA